AUGUGCCAGGACUACAGCAGAGGAUCGGAGGUGGGAGGAACCACGUCUGCGCGCCUGGUCACUGCAUUGCACAAUGUCCGGGCAGCAUUCACACACAACACAACACACAUUUCACCCUUGGGAGUUGUGCAAUGCGGUAGACCAGUCAUUGAUGGGCCCAAGCCGUGGCUCAGGAAAGGCCUCCGUACAAGAAGGACAUUUAAACUGAGACCUGAAAUGAGACACUGGCACAGAUUUUGGAGUCACUGGGAUAUCAACACGGAAGCUGCGGGAGGUCGGCUCACUCAUAAAAAAAUUUUCCGCACAACACGAUACAGUAAAGCAAUUAUCCUCCAAUUAAAAAUAAACAAUUGA
rnacentral:lncRNA from 1 species